GCCUGGGUGGCUUAGUCGGUUGAGCGUCUGACUUUGACUCAGGUCAUGAUCUCGCAGUCAGUGAGUUCGAGUCCUGCAUCGGGCU
rnacentral:tRNA from 1 species